rnacentral:rRNA from 1 species
UACGUAGGCAGCGAGCGUUGUUCGGAGUUACUGGGCGUAAAGGGUGUGUAGGCGGUCCUUUAAGUUUGGUGUGAAAUCUCCCGGCUCAACCGGGAGGGUGCGCCGAAUACUGAGGGACUCGAGUGCGGGAGAGGAAAGUGGAAUUCCUGGUGUAGCGGUGAAAUGCGUAGAUAUCAGGAGGAACACCGGUGGUGUAGACGGCUUUCUGGACCGUAACUGACGCUGAGACACGAAAGCGUGGGUAGCAAACAGG